AACUAAAUAAUAAUUGAAUACAAGAAUAACUUUAUAUUUAUAUAUUCAAUGGUGAUUAUAACCUUUUGUAUAGAUAGUUGAUAUUAAAUUUUAAUUCAUCUUUUUUUUUAUAAAUAUUUCAUCGAGAAAAUAAUUAUGUUAUCAUCACCAAGUGCACCAUCCUCUAGUAGCAAAACUAACUUGUCGGUAAAACCAAAUUAUACAUUAAAAUAUACAUUAGCCGGUCACACUAAAGCAGUUUCUUCUGUUAAAUUCAGCCCAAAUGGAGAAUGGCUUGCUA